GACGAACGCUGGCGGCGUGCCUAAUACAUGCAAGUCGAGCGAUGAAGCUUGGUGCUUGCACCAAUUUGAAGAGCAGCGAACGGGUGAGUAACGCGUGGGGAAUCUGCCUUUGAGCGGGGGACAACAUUUGGAAACGAAUGCUAAUACCGCAUAACAACUUUAAACAUAAGUUUUAAGUUUGAAAGAUGCAAUUGCAUCACUCAAAGAUGAUUCCGCGUUGUAUUAGUUAGUUGGUGAGGUAAAGGCUCACCAAGGCGGUGAUACAUAGCCGACCUGAGAGGGUGGUCCGCCACCUUGGGACUGGGACACGGCCCAAACGCCUACAGGAGGGAGCCGUAGGGAAACUUCGGCAAUGGGCGGAAAUCUGACCGAACAACGCCGCGGGAGUGAAGAAGGUUUUCGGGUCGUAAAAGUCGGUUGGUAGGGAAGAAAGUUCGUGAGAGUGGAAAGCUCAUCAAGUGACGGUAACUACCCAGAAAGCAACGGCUAACUACGUG
rnacentral:rRNA from 1 species